UGCGUACAGGGAAAAACGCAGGCCGACAGGGACUUCGGUCGGGACAUCGCCGGAAGCGAUUCAUCAGGAAGAUGAAUAGGGAACAAAUGGAAUAGGGAAAAAAGAGUGGGCGGGUUCAACCCCGCCCCUUUUUUU
rnacentral:sRNA from 1 species